rnacentral:rRNA from 1 species
GAUGAACGCUGGCGGCGUGCCUAAUACAUGCAAGUAGAACGCUGAAGCUUGGUGCUUGCCCCGAGCGGAUGAGUUGCGAACGGGUGAGUAACGCGUAGGUAACCUGCCUCUUAGCGGGGGAUAACUAUUGGAAACGAUAGCUAAUACCGCAUAAAAGUCGAUAUCGCAUGAUAUUGAUUUGAAAGGUGCAAAUGCAUCACUAAGAGGUGGACCUGCGUUGUAUUAGCUAGUUGGUGAGGUAACGGCUCACCAAGGCGACGAUACAUAGCCGACCUGAGAGGGUGAUCGGCCACACUGGGACUGAGACACGGCCCAGACUCCUACGGGAGGCAGCAGUAGGGAAUCUUCGGCAAUGGGGGCAACCCUGACCGAGCAACGCCGCGUGAGUGAAGAAGGUUUUCGGAUCGUAAAGCUCUGUUGUAAGAGAAGAACGAGUGUGAGAGUGGAAAGUUCACACUGUGACGGUAACUUACCAGAAAGGGACGGCUAACUACGUG